rfam:Rhizoclosmatium globosum strain JEL800 BCR33scaffold_381, whole genome shotgun sequence.
CGCGAAAACUAUUUAAGUAGUUGUAUUAUUCUUUUCUUUAUCCAGUAUAGUACCAGAUUAGUCUGUUCUCAUAAAGGGAUAACAUGAUAAAUAAUAUAUCAGACGGUAGAUGAGAAGGUCUAUUGUCAAGAGAGAAACAACUCCAUCCAUAGGUUAAAGUUCCCCAAUUAUAGCUAAGUGAAUUUAAGACAAUCAGCUGAUAAAUACCUUCAUAAUGUAAGAAUAGUAGAUUCUACCCUUAAGAGAGUGGAUAACACCACAAGGAAGAGUUUUAUAAACUUUAGGUCAUAUUGUCAGAAAUGUACGGAUCUCUAUGUUAUAUACUUUAACCAUGGGCAACAAAUGUUGCGGUAGCG